CCUACGGGGGGCAGCAGUGGGGGAUAUUGCACAAUGGGGGAAACCCUGAUGCAGCGACGCCGCGUGUGGGAAGACGGUCUUCUGGAUUGUAAACCACUUUCCCCAGGGACGAAAAUGACGGUACCUGGGGAGGAAGCUCCGGCUAACUACGUGCCAGCAGCCGCGGUAAUACGUAGGGAGCAAGCGUUGUCCGGAAUUACUGGGGGAAAAGGGAGCGUAGGCGGGGAUGCAAGUUGGGUGUCAAAACUACCGGCUCAACCGAUAGUCGCACUCAAAACUGCAACUCUUGAGUGAAGUAGAGGCAGGCGGAAUUCCUAGUGUAGCGGUGAAAUGCGUAGAUAUUAGGAGGAACACCAGUGGCGAAGGCGGCCUGCUGGGCUUUUACUGACGCUGAGGCUCGAAAGUGUGGGGAGCAAACAGGAUUAGAUACCCCUGUAGUC
rnacentral:rRNA from 1 species